rnacentral:rRNA from 1 species
ACCCCACUGCUAUCGGGAUAGGACUAAGACAUGCUAGUCGUGCGCUUCCUAGCCAAUUUGGGAGCGCGGCACACAGCUCAGUAACACGUGGCUAACCUGCCCUUGGGACGAGAACAACCCCGGGAAACUGGGGCUAAUUCUCGAUAGGUGAAGAUCUCUGGAAUGAGUUUUCGCUUAAAAGAUGUUGGGGUUAUGCUCUCCAGCGCCGCCCAAGGAUGGGGCCGCGACCGAUCAGGUUGUUGGUGAGGUAAUGGCUCACCAAGCCUUUUACCGGUGCGGGCCGUGGGAGCGGGAGCCCGGAGAUGGGCACUGAGACAAGGGCCCAGGCCCUACGGGGCGCAGCAGUCGCGAAAACUUUGCAAUAAGCGAAAGCUUGACAGGGCUAUCCCGAGUGCCAUCCGCUGAGGAAGGCUUUUACCCAGUCUAGAACGCUGGGGGAAUAAGGAGAGGGCAAGUCUGGUGUCAGCCGCCGCGGUAAUACCAGCUCUCCGAGUGGUGUGGAUGUUUAUUGGGCCUAAAGCAUCCGUAGCUGGCUAGGCUAGUCCCCUGUUAAAUCCACCGAAUUAAUCGUUGGAUUGCGGGGGAUACUGCUUGGCUAGGGGACGAGAGAGGCAGACGGUAUUUCCGGGGUAGGGGUGAAAUCCUAUAAUCCCGGGAGGACCACCAGUGGCGAAGGCUGUCUGCUAGAACGCGCCCGACGGUGAGGGAUGAAAGCUGGGGGAGCGAACCGGAUUAGAUACCCGGGUAGUCCCAGCUGUAAACGAUGCAGACUAGGUGUUUGGACGGCCACGUGCCGUUCUAGUGCCGCAGGGAAGCUGUUAAGUCUGCCGCCUGGGGAGUACGAUCGCAAGAUUGAAACUUAAAGGAAU